ACACUAAUGAAAUCCAAAACCUUUUGGAUCAACCCAACCUUAGCGAACCGUUCGUAUUUUCCCUUUGCCCAAUUUUACCAAACGCAAAAACUCUGAUGUAAAGUGUCUGAUUCUUAUUCUCGUUUUCGGUUGUAAUGACCGAGCCCGCGGGAAUCAAAAUCUAACGCAAUA
rnacentral:misc_RNA from 1 species